CUUGCUUCCGCUGACGACCGGCGCACGGGUGCGUAACGCGUAUGUAACCUACCUCAUACUGGAGAAUAGCCCUUGGAAACGAGGAUUAAUGCUCCAUAGUAUCACAGAUUCGCAUGUUUCUGUGAUUAAAGAAUUUCGGUAUGAGAUGGGCAUGCGUCCCAUUAGCUUGUUGGUGAGGUAACGGCUCACCAAGGCAACGAUGGGUAGGGGGCCUGAGAGGGUGACCCCCCACACUGGUACUGAGACACGGACCAGACUCCUACGGGAGGCAGCAGUGAGGAAUAUUGGGCAAUGGAGGCAACUCUGACCCAGCCAUGCCGCGUGAAGGAUGACUGCCCUAUGGGUUGUAAACUUCUUUUAUAUGGGAAGAAACUUAUCUACGUGUAGAUAACUGACGGUACCAUACGAAUAAGGAUCGGCUAACUCCGUGCCAGCAGCCGCGGUAAUACGGAGGAUCCAAGCGUUAUCCGGAUUCAUUGGGUUUAAAGGGUCCGUAGGCGGGUCUUUAAGUC
rnacentral:rRNA from 1 species